rnacentral:tmRNA from 1 species
GGGGGCGACCGGUUUCGACGAAGAUGCUGAACCCUUUGGUGCAUGUCGGGUAGGUACGCCCGUUACCCAGGCCACUUGCAAUAAUUGCAAACGACGAAGUAGAACUAGCUUACGCUGCGUAAGUUACCCUGAUCUUGAGGUGUCCAUCCAUUAGGAAGCCAGGGCAAUUUAGAUGGAAUCGCUAUUCGGAGGUGUUGACUCGUGUCGCCGGAGGUUAAAAAGUAACGAAUCGACCUGUUGGGCGUCUUGUCUGUUCAACUUCCUUCAGGUGCUAUUUGAAUAGACUAAACAUGUAGAUCCAUUGGCUGAUGGUUUUCGGACGAGGGUUCGACUCCCUCCGCCUCCACCA